GCUUAAAGGCGCCGCGCUGGGAACGCCGCCGUCAGGGCGAGGAAGCUGCCGGAGAGGUGAAGUGACUGUCGCUGAGGUGCCCAGGAGCCCUGAAAGACUUGUGCCUUGGACACAGCAAAAUCUGCGGGUUGCAGAAAGUCUCAACUGACCCUGGCAUACCCCGAGAUGCCGACUUUUAGAGCUGAAGAUGCAAGAAAGAUCGGGACCCUGCGAUGCACCGACCACCUUCUCUCUGGUUGGCUUUCACUGUACCUGUCUCUCGAAGUGUGUGCGCCCUGUUCCGUUGAUAGUCUUAACCUUUCGUUCCUCGCUGGCUUCCUGUGUUAAACUAUUUGCUACAAGGUCACACAAUUUUAACUAGAAGACUAAGAUGUGAACCUGGGUGGUCUGAUGUGAACACCAACACUGUGCUGCUUUGCGACAGAGAAUGUUUUAGGGAACACACAGACUAUGUACUUAACCAAAUCUGGAAUUUGCCAUAAGAUGCUGGAAUGAAAGAUAAGGACACAUACUGAAUAUAGAAGCAAGAAUCCAUUGAGAUAAAAAGACGGUAAAGGAAAAUAAACUAGUUAUCUUCUAAGGAGCAGGUAUAGUUAAAAAGGAAAUCAGGAGGAAGAAAGUUGUACAGCAGCACCUUGGAAGGGAGAUGAUUCACUUCAAAGGUACAACUGCCACUGCUUUUUAUACAAACACAUGCUUGUGGGAUUAUCAAAUACAUUGAUAAUGUCUAUAAACAUUUUUAAGGAAAUGUAAAAACUUGAAAUUCUUUUGACUAGUCUAGAUUUUCUGAUAAAGAUAACUAUUUAGGCUGGGCCUAGUGACUCAUGCCUGUAAUCCUAGGACUUUGGGAGGCUGAGAUGGGAAGAUCGCCGCUUG